GCCAGGUGCCCUGGUGCACACCUGUAAUCCAGCUAUGUGGGAGGCUGAGGCAGGAGGAUCACAAGUUCCAUGCCAGGCUUAGCAAUUUAGAGAGCCCUGUCUCAA
rnacentral:sRNA from 1 species